rnacentral:rRNA from 1 species
GAUGAACGCUGGCGGCGUGCCUAAUACAUGCAAGUCGAGCGAACAGACGAGGAGCUUGCUCCUCUGACGUUAGCGGCGGACGGGUGAGUAACACGUGGAUAACCUACCUAUAAGACUGGGAUAACUUCGGGAAACCGGAGCUAAUACCGGAUAAUAUAUUGAACCGCAUGGUUCAAUAGUGAAAGACGGUUUUGCUGUCACUUAUAGAUGGAUCCGCGCGGCAUUAGCUAGUUGGUAAGGUAACGGCUUACCAAGGCAACGAUGCGUAGCCGACCUGAGAGGGUGAUAGGCCACACUGGAACUGGACCACGGUCCAGGCUCCUACGGGAGGCAGCAGUAGGGAAUGUUCCGCAAUGGGCGAAAGCCUGACGGAGCAGCGCCGCGUGAGUGAUGAAGGUCUUCGGAUCGUAAAACUCUGUUAUUAGGGAAGAACAAAUGUGUAAGUGACUAUGCACGUCUUGACGGUACCUAAUCAGAAAGCCACGGCUAACUACGUG